GGUUUGUGGCUUAGAGGUAGAGCACUUGCCUAGCAUUCAUGAGGUACUGGGUUCGACCCUCAGCACCA
rnacentral:tRNA from 1 species